rnacentral:lncRNA from 1 species
UCCUUUUCCCACCCUCCGCCGUCGCCAACUCCGCCGAAUUCGAACGAAACAAGCAAAUCGAUCUGCUGCACUUGAAUUUGCCAACACCGUUACACUUGAAUCCGAACAGAACAAACACUCCGACCAGCGACCAUCCCCAUCCCUUCUCUCUGCACCCAAUUCUCUCUCACGUUGAGCCCUUUAUCUUCCUCACGAGCCCGACCACCGUCCGAAGUCCAUAUAUCGAGCGACGGCGCCGCCCUUUGGCCCCAGAACAAAUUUGUAGCUGAACCUUAGUUUUCUCUCGAUUCGAGAAAAAAUUGCCACCGCCUGGAAUGUGUCACAGAGGGGGCUGCGGCGGUGGCCGACGGCUUUUGGAGAUUGUGAGGGAAAUGGAGGGUGAAUAUGAAAGAGGGAGCUCAUGAAUCUGCAGCUGCUCGACGCCAUUUUUUAUUUGGCCAGGUAGCGGCAGCAGAGAGUGAGGGAAGGGGAGGGGACGGCGGAGGGUGGGGGAAGGGAAGGGGGCGGCGGCUGGGGGGAGGGGAGUUACGGUUUGGAGGUGGGGAGAGGUUGGGGAAGAUGAUGUGGAGUUAUUUUUCUUUUUUUUCUUUUUAAUUUUUUUUUCAUAUGUCAUAAAUGUGGCACAUUGUCAUUUUCGGCUGCCAACGUGUGAUUUCCGGUGCCGGUGUAGGAAAAAAAUCGGUCACCAAAUAAAUUUGAGACAAAAAUUAAAGGUUAUGUAUUUAAAAGUAGAUUUUUGAAAUUAGAGCAAAAACCAAUUCCGAAAAAACGUCAUGGAUUUACAGAGAAUUAACCCUUUAAAAAAAUAGAGUUAUUG